UAGGGAAUCUUCCACAAUGGACGCAAGUCUGAUGGAGCAACGCCGCGUGAGUGAAGAAGGAUUUCGGAUCGUAAAGCUCUGUUGUUGGUGAAGAAGGAUAGAGGCAGUAACUGGUCUUUAUUUGACGGUAAUCAACCAGAAAGUCACGGCUAACUACUUGCCAGCAGCCGCGGUAAUACGUAGGUGGCAAGCGUUGUCCGGAUUUAUUGGGCGUAAAGCGAGCGCAGGCGGAAUGAUAAGUCUGAUGUGAAAGCCCACGGCUCAACCGGGGAACUGAAUCGGAAACUGUCAAGCUUGAGUGCAGAGAAGGAGAGUGGAAUUCCAUGUGUAGCGGUGGAAUGCGUAGAGAUAUGGAAGAACACAAGUGGCGAAGGCGGCUCUCUGGCUGCAACUGACGCUGAGGCUCGAAAGCAUGGGUAGCGAACAGG
rnacentral:rRNA from 1 species